rnacentral:lncRNA from 1 species
AUUUUGUUAUCUUGGCAUGAUUCACAAGAAUGCAUAAAAGCUCAAACAUCACAAAUCAAAUCUAUCCAAAAUCAUGUCAUUAAGAUCCGUUUUAAAGUCUUUUUAUGCCUUAGGUGUCUAGAUAUUGGAAUGUUGUGUUGCUCUUGAAAUAUGCAUGUUUGGAGCAUAGCAUUGUCAGGUAUAUAUAAAUCCGCCUCUUGAAAUAGAGUAAGCCAUCAUUGAGACAAUAAUCUCAAUAUUGCACAAUAUCCACAUUCAGUCAAUUAAUAAUCAUCUUGAAAUAAACAUUGUGAUGCAUAGCUUUCUUCCAUUUUGUUCUUCUUGUUAAUUCUAAAAUAAUACUAUUAAUGAUAGUAACUUUUGUCUUAUGAUUUGAUUUGAGUUUUAAGUCGAAUUUAUGAAAUAAGGUAUCUCACACAAUAUAUUGUCAUCUUUGUUUGUAUUCAAGUUGAAUGUCAAAGAACUUCAACUGCUCUUCUCAAUAAUAAUGUUGAAAUUUUAUAUUUUUCAAAUGCAAAUCAUGUAGCAAAGGUUGGUGGAUGGUUGAAACA